UUUUGUUUCAUGGAGGUUCACACAGGAGAGUAUUUGACCUCCAUAUGGUACAUUACAAAUCCCACUUAACAAUUUCAUAAAUGAAGUCUAGAAAUCUGUGAAGCUGGCCAACUGAACUGAACUGAACUAAGCCACUUACUGACUCAGUUCAUGUGUAACAACUAUCCAUGGUUUGAUGUCCUGGCCUGUUAACUUACUGUGGUUCCUACAAACCACAGUUUCCUGUAUUCAGACAAAGUAGGAAACUGCUGCUUAGAACAAACCAGGUAUGGAGGAUUUAAUUCUUAAAUGCAAAGGGAAGGGGGAAUAGGCAAGCUUUAGUGAAGUAAUCACUAAUGAGCUCAAUGGGACUUACACCCAGAGAAGCAUGUAUAGGAUUGCCUCUUUAACUGGAACUUAAAUCUGUUGAAAACAAAAUGCUGAAAUGCCAAAAGCUAUUGGAUAUGGGAGAUCAAGAUAAAGUGUAUUUAGCUUUGUAGUUCAGGCUUCAAGUGAUUAUUGUCUUAUACAUACUAUCUAGGGGCUCGUAUACACUGUCAUAUAUGGAUCUAUGUCUAAUAUCAGACUGUCAUUUUACAACAUAAAGUUGACCUGUUGGUUAAGUGGCCUUAGAUUGACAUCUAAUACGCAGCUGACUCCAGGAUAGUGAAAACUUGACAAGAAUCUAGGAGUACAGAAUCUAAGAAUUUGCCUGGAGCCUUGGGUCUGCACAAACUGUUGCCUUGGGUAAACAGGAGCUCUUUGCAGUCGUCCCUGAUCACUGUGGAUGCCAACUGGAUCAAUAGUCUUCCACUUAGAGAAAUAACCUCUGUGGCUUCUUCACGGAUGAUCCCAUGCCCUGUAUCCUGAAGUCUGUCGGAUCCUGCAGCUUGGAGCAAUGGCACAUUCAUGUCAUAUGCACCCAAAGGAAUAUUUCCAAACAACUUCUGUUAUUGGAGUGGAGUAGUUGGAAAUCACAUCUGAUACAGUGAAACCAAUAAAAAUGUAUUGACUCCU